rnacentral:rRNA from 1 species
AUGCAGUCGAGCGGUAGCACAGAGAGCUUGCUCUCGGGUGACGAGCGGCGGACGGGUGAGUAAUGUCUGGGAAACUGCCUGAUGGAGGGGGAUAACUACUGGAAACGGUAGCUAAUACCGCAUAACGUCGCAAGACCAAAGAGGGGGACCUUCGGGCCUCUUGCCAUCAGAUGUGCCCAGAUGGGAUUAGCUAGUAGGUGGGGUAACGGCUCACCUAGGCGACGAUCCCUAGCUGGUCUGAGAGGAUGACCAGCCACACUGGAACUGAGACACGGUCCAGACUCCUACGGGAGGCAGCAGUGGGGAAUAUUGCACAAUGGGCGCAAGCCUGAUGCAGCCAUGCCGCGUGUAUGAAGAAGGCCUUCGGGUUGUAAAGUACUUUCAGCGGGGAGGAAGGUGUUGAGGUUAAUAACCUCAGCAAUUGACGUUACCCGCAGAAGAAGCACCGGCUAACUCCGUGCCAGCAGCCGCGGUAAUACGGAGGGUGCAAGCGUUAAUCGGAAUUACUGGGCGUAAAGCGCACGCAGGCGGUCUGUCAAGUCGGAUGUGAAAUCCCCGGGCUCAACCUGGGAACUGCAUUCGAAACUGGCAGGCUAGAGUCUUGUAGAGGGGGGUAGAAUUCCAGGUGUAGCGGUGAAAUGCGUAGAGAUCUGGAGGAAUACCGGUGGCGAAGGCGGCCCCCUGGACAAAGACUGACGCUCAGGUGCGAAAGCGUGGGGAGCAAACAGGAUUAGAUACCCUGGUAGUCCACGCCGUAAACGAUGUCGACUUGGAGGUUGUGCCCUUGAGGCGUGGCUUCCGGAGCUAACGCGUUAAGUCGACCGCCUGGGGAGUACGGCCGCAAGGUUAAAACUCAAAUGAAUUGACGGGGGCCCGCACAAGCGGUGGAGCAUGUGGUUUAAUUCGAUGCAACGCGAAGAACCUUACCUACUCUUGACAUCCAGAGAACUUUCCAGAGAUGGAUUGGUGCCUUCGGGAACUCUGAGACAGGUGCUGCAUGGCUGUCGUCAGCUCGUGUUGUGAAAUGUUGGGUUAAGUCCCGCAACGAGCGCAACCCUUAUCCUUUGUUGCCAGCGGUCCGGCCGGGAACUCAAAGGAGACUGCCAGUGAUAAACUGGAGGAAGGUGGGGAUGACGUCAAGUCAUCAUGGCCCUUACGAGUAGGGCUACACACGUGCUACAAUGGCGCAUACAAAGAGAAGCGACCUCGCGAGAGCAAGCGGACCUCAUAAAGUGCGUCGUAGUCCGGAUUGGAGUCUGCAACUCGACUCCAUGAAGUCGGAAUCGCUAGUAAUCGUAGAUCAGAAUGCUACGGUGAAUACGUUCCCGGGCCUUGUACACACCGCCCGUCACACCAUGGGAGUGGGUUGCAAAAGAAGUAGGUAGCUUAACCUUCGGGAGGGCGCUUA